UGAGUAACGCGUGGGUAACCUGCCCUUAAGUCUGGGAUACCAUUUGGAAACAGAUGCUAAUACCGGAUAAAAGCUACUUUCGCAUGAAAGAAGUUUAAAAGGCGGCGUAAGCUGUCGCUAAAGGAUGGACCUGCGAUGCAUUAGCUAGUUGGUAAGGUAACGGCUUACCAAGGCGAUGAUGCAUAGCCGAGUUGAGAGACUGAUCGGCCACAUUGGGACUGAGACACGGCCCAAACUGCGUACGGGAGGCAGCAGGG
rnacentral:rRNA from 1 species